CUUUACUGUAGCCUGGAAUUGGGUCCGGGCUUCGCUUGCGCAGGAUAGGUGGGAGGCACUGAAACACUCCUUGUGGGGAGUGUGGAGCCAACGGUGAGAUACCACUCUAGCGAGGCUAGGAUUCUAACUUGUUCCCGUUAUCCGGGAGAAGGACAAUUUCAGGUGGGCAGUUUGACUGGGGCGGUCGCCUCCUAAAAGGUAACGGAGGCGCGCAAAGGUUCCCUCCGGCUGGUUGGAAAUCAGCCCGUGAAGUGCAAAGGCAUAAGGGAGCUUGACUGCAAGAGCCACACCUCGAGCAGGGACGAAAGUCGGCCUUAGUGAUCCGACGGCGCUGAGUGGAAGGGCCGUCGCUCAACGGAUAAAAGUUA
rnacentral:rRNA from 1 species